rnacentral:rRNA from 1 species
UGAGGAAUAUUGGUCAAUGGGCGGGAGCCUGAACCAGCCAAGUCGCGUGAAGGAAGAAGGAUCUAUGGUUCGUAAACUUCUUUUGCAGGGGAAUAAAGUGCAGGACGUGUCCUGUUUUGUAUGUACCCUGAGAAUAAGGAUCGGCUAACUCCGUGCCAGCAGCCGCGGUAAUACGGAGGAUCCGAGCGUUAUCCGGAUUUAUUGGGUUUAAAGGGUGCGUAGGUGGUUUGAUAAGUCAGCGGUGAAAGUUUGCAGCUUAACUGUAAAAAUGCCGUUGAAACUGUCGGACUUGAGUGUAAAUGAGGUAGGCGGAAUGCGUGGUGUAGCGGUGAAAUGCAUAGAUAUCACGCAGAACUCCGAUUGCGAAGGCAGCUUACUAAGCUACAACUGACACUGAAGCACGAAAGCGUGGGGAUCAAAUA